rnacentral:rRNA from 1 species
UACGUAGGGGGCAAGCGUUGUCCGGGAUUAUUGGGCGUAAAGAGCGUGUAGGCGGCCAGAUAAGUCCGCUGUGAAAUCUUGAGGCUCAACUUCGAGCUGUCGGUGGAAACUAUCUGGCUAGAGUCCGGAAGAGGAGAAUGGAAUUCCUGGUGUAGCGGUGAAAUGCGCAGAUAUCAGGAAGAACACCCGUGGCGAAGGCGGUUCUCUGGGACGGUACUGACGCUGAGACGCGAAAGCGUGGGGAGCGAACAGG